UUGUAUCAAGACAGGAAGAUAAAAAGGUCUAAGCAACUUUAAAAGACUGUUGGGGCACAGAUGGCAGGAGCUUCAGCUGCAAUUUUGUCUAAAUUGUUGACAUACUUGCCACACAUUAAAUUCUAGUAAUGGUAGAGGCCUCAAAAGUUGGUCAAAUGUUGACCAAAGACGGUGCAGCAACAAAUUUCCUGAGUCUGUCUGAAGCGAAUUGAGGAAGGUAAAGCUUGAGCAAACCAAAGACAAAUGAAACCAAUUAAAAUACACAAAGUGAAAUGAAAAAAACGUCACCAUUAGCCACAUGAUUUUUCUAGCAAAAGCACAUCAUCAGAUGAAUGGGAUGGACACAAUAAAAUGACUCAAAAAAUUCAAGUAGUGCUUUCAUUGAGAAGUGAUACGGAUUACACGGUUUUGCAUCGAUGAUUUUACUGUUCAGUGGAACUAUGAGAUGCAACAAUCUUUCUUUUAACAGUGUCUGAACCUUGUGAAACAAUAAUCCCUUCCAAAUUUCAAACCAAUUUCCUCCAUUUUUGCACAAAUUGUCUCAGCUGUCCAAACAUCAUAAUAACAAAGAAACAAAGGGUGAAAUAGGCUGCUGCUACACUACAUCUCAGUCCUAUCAAACUGGUGGUAGAAAAGUCGGACCAGAGCUAAGUGGGACCAGGAAGAGUUGUCCUGUUCUGCCUUUAUCUUCUUAAUGAACCUGUCACUCUUGUGUGGACACGCCGGCUGCUGAGACUGAACUCGAAGCUGCUCGGAUAAACUGAAGAGGCCUGUACGACUGGCUGCAUUGCAAAUAGACUUUAAAACCCGAAGAAGAUCGGGGGCGGGGUGCUCCAGUGGCAGAACGCUACACAGAAAAUAAAAUGGAAAACGCUCCAUGUGAUGUCUGCACUGUAAGAAACAGGAGCACCUUCAAAUCCUGUCUGGUCUGCUUAGUGUCAGACUCGUCUCGCUGCAGAUUCCUACGUGGUUUUAAGCAGCAGUUUGCAGCCUGUACAAAAAAUAAAGCUGACACGAUUGAGACCUGGAGAAUUUUUGACACAUUGAUCACAAGUCCAUCUCUCAUCUGUCCUCCAUAGACUUUAAAAGAAGAGACACAUUCUCCCUCAUUAUUCACAAAACAGAUGAGAGGAAUAUCACACAGCAAUUCCACAUUGGAGAUCUGCUUCAUGUCACAGCGUUUUUAGCAGCUUCCAUGUCUUCUCUGAUAGAUUUGGGACAUGUGCGUGAGGAAUCAGAGCACCAUCCUUCAAAAUAACAUAAAAAAUUAUGUGAUUAUGGAAUUGGCAGAUAGCUAAACACUAAUGCUUACAGACAAGUUUUCAGCAAUUAUCUAGUUUGAUUUGUCUCAAACUCAGCCCCGGAGGGUGUUUUGAGAGUGCAGCUGAAGUGAACUGAACUACAGGAGUCAGUGUGAGGUGAAGGAGCUGAUCAGAGCCUGACAACAGCAGUGACUAAAGAGCUCACCAACAAGGCCUCAGUUCUUGAUAAGCACCAGUGCGAUGGUUCACAAGUCGUCAAACACCAACAUGUUUCCUAGCUGUUAGGAAAAACAAAGGAUGCAAGUCUUCAGAAGCCCUCGCCUGGAUCAGUGGAGUUUCUACUGAAUGACCAAACACGGCGCCGUCUGAACCUGCUGACAAAACUCACUUUUAUAAUUCACCCAAAUAUCAGAAGAUGAUCACGUGAGACUGCGCCACAGUUUACCUGUGACUGUGAACUUCUCUGUCGUCAUGACGACCUCUUCUUCGUCUGCAGUGAACAGAAGUUUACCUCCGUCGCUGCUUCGCACCUCCAGCCUCUGACACUGAGCCUCCACAGCCUCAGACCUGGGAAAUUUUAGAUUUUCACCCUAAAAAAGAGCAUCUUGCCUGAGAAGCCAUGAAAUUUGAUCCCCGACCUUCCCGGGAUCUUUCUGCAUGGAGUUUGCAUGUUCUCCCUGUGCAUGCAUAGGUGUUCUCCAGCCCUGUGAUAGACUGGUGACCUGUUGUCAGUCAGCUGGGAUAGACUCCAGACCCCCUGCGACCCUAAUGAGGAUUAAGCAGCGUGUACAUAAUGGAUGGAUGCAUGGAUGUGUUUUCAGACCUGCCAUGAAAUCUGGUUUCCCAGAGACUAUGGGUUGAGGAGGAAUUGGAAGUUUGUCGGCUUAGACCUGGUGUCAUUCCAUCAGUGUUAAACUUCCAGGCUCAUCUUGGAAGAGUACGUGCCAGAAAGACCACGAUCAAGCAGCCUUGAGAUCUUAGACAGCGUCUCCCUCAGGUCCCUCUCUAUCUCCCCACACAUCCACCAACCACUGGAACACAUCUCCAAAGUUCUGCUGGGCCAGCUCAGCUUCCCCUCAGAAGAAGUGCCGCCACCUGCCAGAUGAAGGAGCCUUUUGAGAGGCAGCUGGCAUCG